UACGUAGGGUGCAAGCGUUAAUCGGAAUUACUGGGCGUAAAGCGUGCGUAGGCGGUUUGUUAAGACAGGUGUGAAAUCCCCGGGCUUAACCUGGGAAUGGCAUUGGUGACUGCACGGCUAGAGUGUGUCAGAGGGGGGUAGAAUUCCACGUGUAGCAGUGAAAUGCGUAGAGAUGUGGAGGAAUACCGAUGGCGAAGGCAGCCCCCUGGGAUAACACUGACGCUCAUGGCACGAAAGCGUGGGGAGCAAACAGG
rnacentral:rRNA from 1 species